rnacentral:lncRNA from 1 species
CAUAUUUUUAAUUAAAGUUUAUUUUUUAAAAAAAUAAACGGGUAACAUGAUUCUCAUAAUUAAGAUAGUUGUGACAGCAGCAAUGACUAAUUAUCUGGAAGCAGCUGGCUCCCCUUCAAAUCUUCAAAAAGACUUUUUAAUAAACUAAUCCUCUAGAAUUUUAAAAUUUACGAAAUAAUUCUUCCAAGAUUAUAUUUGUAAAACUAACUCUCCUUUCACCACGUAAGAAUAGAGGUGGAUUUUUUCUAUAUAGACGGCGAAUCGUUUACCGCCUUCAGUAAGACUGUAAACGAUUCAUCGUCUUACUAAUAUAAUUAGCAAAGAUGGUGAAUAGUUUAUUAUCUUUUUCUUAUUUAAUAUUUUUUCGAUAUCCCAUAUAUAAUCUUAACAAUCACAUAAAAAUUACAAUAAAUUACGUAUAAUCUUAACAAUCUAAAAAUCCUAGUAAUCUAUCCAUAUAGUUUUAAUAUAAAAAUUACAACAAAUCACAUAUAAUCUUAACAACUUGAAAAUUCUAAUAAUCUAUCCAUACAAUUCUAACAAUCAAAUAAAAAUUUCAAUAAUCUACCAUACUAAAAACCUCACUUUUUCCUAUUUUUCAUCUAAUAACCUUUUUUUUUUCUAUUUUUCAUAAUCCACAUAAUCUUAACAACCUCACUUUUUUCUAUUUUUCAUCUAACAAUCUCACUUUUUCCUAUUUUUCAACUAAUAACCUUAUUUUUUUUCUAUUUUUCAUAAUCCACAUAAUCUUCAUAACCUCACUUUUUUCUAUUCUUCAUCUAACAACCUCAGUUUUUUCUAUUUUUUUAUAUAAUCCACAUAGAGAAAAAAAUUUCAUCUAAUAACCUUAUUUUUUUUCUAUUUUCCAUAAUCCACAUAAUCUUAACAACCUCACUUUUUUCUAUUCUUCAUCUAACCACCUCACUUUUUUCUAUUUUUUUAUAUAAUCCACGUACAGAAAAAUAUGAGUACGUACAGAAAAAUAUGAGUUUGUUAGAUGAAAAAUAAAAAAAGUGAGCUUUUUAGGAUUAUACGUGGAUUAUUAGAAUUUUUAUUUGAUUGUUAGGAUUAUAUAGAUAGAUUAUUAGAAUUUUUAGGUUGCUGAAAUUAUAUUAGUUUUGUUAUAAUUUUUAUGCGGUUGUUAAGAUUAUAUAUGGGAUAUAGAAAAUAAUAUUAAAUAAGCAAAAUACGAUGAACCAUUUAUCGUCUUUACUAAUUAUACAUUAGUAAGAUUUCAUAAAAAAAAAAUUUCUCAACGCGGCGAAAAGAGGAUUAGCUUUACAAAUAUAAUUUUGAAAAAAUUAUUUUAUAAAUUUUAAAAUUCUAAGCCACUGUUUGUUUCGGGGUUAAGGGAGGGAAUAACCCCUUAACCCCGAAGUUAUUCCCAAACACCCAAUUGGGGGGCCCCACCCGAGGAAUAGGUUGUGGGAUUAACUUAAUCCCACCCCUAUUCAAAAUUUAAAAUUAUUAUUUUUAAUUAUUUUAAUUUAAAAUUUAAAUUUAAAUAUAAAAAUUGAAGCAAAAUUAUUAUUUUUUAUUUAUAAUAAUCCACUAUCCUUCUUAUCCUAUUUACUCCAAUCAAACACUAUUUUAUUUAUACUUGGACUAAAACCAAUGCUCAACCAAACACAAAAUUACUUUAAUCUCACCUUAAUCUUGAACUUAACUCUAUUCUUGGAAUAACUAUUUUCUACUUAAUCCCGAACCAAACGGUAACUAAAGAAUUAGUUUAUAAAAAAAUCCCACCUAGGGCCUCCGCAUAGCUUCCGUAGUUCCGUCCCUGAGAACGGUGCUUCCAAUUUUUCUUACGGCGACAAGUUAAUUCCAAAACAUUAAAAAAUGAGAUAAUUAAAUUAAAAUUUUGGGAAAACUUCAAAAACCCCCCUGUGGUUUCGUGCAUUCUCACUUUGCUACUCUGUGGUUUAAAACGUAUCAAUUUACCCCCCUGUGGUUUCAUUUUUAUCUUUUCGGAAGCUUUUUCGUUAAUAUUUCGUUAAAUUAUAUACAAAAAACUUCAGAUAACCAUCUAUAUUUAUCGAAUAGUCACUUUAGUAUCCUUUAAUUUUAACUUUGUCACUGAUUUUAAAAAAUAAUAAUAAUAAAGUUGAUAACAAAAAGAUAAAAACGAAACCACAGGGGGGCAAAAUGAUACGUUUUAAACUACAUGGUAGCAAAAUGAGAAUUCACGAAACCACAGGGAUGUUUUUGAAGUUUUUCCUAAAAUUUUUAAAGGUGGGUAACUAUUUCAAAUAGGACAACGUGAGGCCGUAUGAAAUGGACCAGCACACGUGGCGGUCGACUCCACGUGGUGUCGACGCCAAUCAAGUUGUUUUAUGGGUGGAGAGUUAGUGAAAGUAUAAAAUUAAACACGCAUUCCCACGACCAUCUACCUUAGUAUAGUCGCAAAAGAUCAUGCCAUUUCUUUUUAUACAGAGCAAGGGCACUAACGUUGCACGUCCAAAUAACUAGAAUUAUUUCAUUAUUAUGAUUUAUCUACUGAUUUUAUUAAGUUUCUAUUUAAAUAAAAAAUUUAAUUAUUUUAAAAAAUUAUAGGAUUUGAAUGGGUAUAAGGUAACCUACUGGGGCAAACAGGAAGAGCAUGAAAAAAAAAAAAAAAAAAAAAAAANNNNNNNNNNNNNNNNNNNNNNNNNNNNNNNNNNNNNNNNNNNNNNNNNNNNNNNNNNNNNNNNNNNNNNNNNNNNNNNNNNNNNNNNNNNNNNCCCAAAAAAAAAAAAAAAAAAAAAAAAAAACUAUAGAACCUCAUAACUAUAACUUUUUAACGAAAAAAAAAAACAAAACAGUUUCAAAGGAAAAAGAAAAUUAGUAGGAUAGCCUUUUUUUUCCAAAAAAAAUAACAUGCUACUGAAAUUUAUUCAUUUGAAAAAAAAUUAAUUAUAUAAAUGAGAAAAUACUGCAUAGCAAUUUUUUUUCCUCCUCCUUAUAGUAUAGUUUAUANNNNNNNNNNNNNNNNNNNNNNNNNNNNNNNNNNNNNNNNNNNNNNNNNNNNNNNNNNNNNNNNNNNNNNNNNNNNNNNNNNNNNNNNNNNNNNNNNNNNNNNNNNNNNNNNNNNNNNNNNNNNNNNNNNNNNNNNNNNNNNNNNNUACUAUAUAUAUUAUGAUAGCGUAUGAUAUAGUAUAGAAAUAAAUUUUUGAAAUUAAAUAGAAAAAUAAAAUCCGUUAUCUUAAAAAGAAAAUAUAUUUUGAAAUUAAAUAGAUAAUAUCUAAAAAAGAUAUUUUAAAAUAAAAUAGGAAAAUAUCUUUUAUAGGAUUUUCAACCUGUAAUCUCUUAUAGAAAAAUUACUUUUGAAAUUAAAUAGUCUGUUAUAGAGAACUUACAUUGCUGUUUCUAUUUCUAUUUUUAUUCUUAUAUUUAAAAUUUUUCGUACGGAAAGAGAAAAAUGGGCGCUAAUUUUUCCGUCGAAAAAUGGGUCUGUCGACAGACCCAAAUUUGAAUAUACGUGCUUUUAUAUAUAGUAUAGAUAUAAAAUCAUGCAAGUGGAUUGGCAAGUAGGACAUGCUACAUACAAAAUACGAAUUUCUUCUAACUCUGGAUCUCCCGAUUAUUGAAAGUAACCGCAAGUCGAUGACAACGACUGUUCUUAUUGUAAGUGGCAAAGUGGCUGGUAUUCAAAAUUUCAAAUUCGAAUUUUAGUUAAUUUAUAUUUUUAAUUAAGUUUAUUUUUUUAAAAAAUAAACAGGUAACAUGAUUCUCAUAAUUAAGAUAGUUGUGACAGCAGCAAUGACUAAUUAUCCGGAAGCAGCUGGCUCCCCUUCAAAUCUUCAAAAAGACUUUUUAAUAAACUAAUCCUCUAGAAUUUUAAAAUUUACGAAAUAAUUCUUCCAAGAUUAUAUUUGUAAAACUAACUCUCCUUUCACCAUGUAAGAAUAGGGGUGGAUUUUUUUUACAUAGACGGUGAAUCGUUUACCGCCUUCAGUAAGACUGUAAACGAUUCAUCGUCUUACUAAUAUAAUUAGCAAAGAUGGUGAAUAGUUUAUUAUCUUUUUCUUAUUUAAUAUUUUUUCUAUAUCCGAUAUAUAAUCUUAACAAUUACAUAAAAAUUACAAUAAAUCACGUAUAAUCUUAACAAUCUAAAAAUUAUAGUAAUCUAUCCAUAUAGUUUUAAUAUAAAAAUUACAACAAAUCACAUAUAAUCUUAACAACUUAAAAAUUCUAAUAAUCUAUCCAUAUAAUUCUAACAAUCAAAUAAAAAUUUCAAUAAUCUUACCAUACUAAAAACCUCACUUUUUUCUAUUCUUCAUCUAACAACCUCAUUUUUUUCUAUUUUUUUAUAUAAUCCACAUAGAGAAAAAAUUUUCAUCUAAUAACCUUAUUUUUUUUCUAUUUUUCAUAAUCCACAUAAUCUUAACAACCUCACUUUUUUCUAUUCUUCAUCUAACCACCUCACUUUUUUCUAUUUUUUUAUAUAAUCCACGUACAGAAAAAUAUGAGUACGUACAGAAAAAUAUGAGUUUGUUAGAUGAAAAAUAAAAAAAGUGAGCUUUUUAGGAUUAUACAUGGAUUAUUAGAAUUUUUAUUUGAUUGUUAGUAUUAUAUAGAUAGAUUAUUAGAAUUUUUAGGUUGCUAAAAUUAUAUUGGUUUUGUUAUAAUUUUUAUGCAGUUGUUAAGAUUAUAUAUGGGAUAUAGAAAAUAAUAUUAAAUAAGCAAAAUACGAUGAACCAUUUAUCGUCUUUGCUAAUUAUAUAUUAGUAAGAUUUCAUAAAAAAAAAAUUUCUCAACGCGGCGAAAAGAGGAUUAGCUUUACAAAUAUAAUUUUGAAAGAAUUAUUUCAUAAAUUUUAAAAAUUCUAAGCCACUGUUUGUUUCGGGGUUAAAGGAGGGAAUAACCACUUAAUCCCGAAGUUAUUCCCAAACACCCAAUUUGGGGGGCCCCAUCCGAGGAAUAGGUUGUGGGAUUAACUUAAUCCCACCCCUAUUCAAAAUUUAAAAUUAUUAUUUUUAAUUAUUUUAAUUUAAAAUUUAAAUUUAAAUAUAAAAAUUGAAGCAAAAUUAUUAUUUUUUAUUUAUAAUAACUCACUAUCCUUCUUAUCCUAUUUACUCCAAUCAAACACUAUUUUAUCUAUAUCUGGACUAAAACCAAUGACUAAAACCAAUGCUCAACCAAACACAAAAUUACUCUAAUCUUAUCUUAACCCUGAACGUAACUCUAUUCCUGAAAUAACUAUUUUUUACUUAAUCCCUAACCAAACGAUAACUAAAGAAUUAGUUUAUAAAAAAAAAUCCCACCUA